AGUGAACGCUGGCGGUAGGCCUAACACAUGCAAGUCGAACGGCAGCACAGUAAGAUCUUGCUCUUACGGGUGGCGAGUGGCGGACGUGUGAGGAAUACAUCGGAAUCUACUUUUUCGUGGGGGAUAACGUAGGGAAACUUACGCUAAUACCGCAUACGACCUACGGGUGAAAGCAGGGGAUCGUCGGACCUUGCGCGAUUGAAUGAGCCGAUGUCGGAUUAGCUAGUUGGCGGGGUAAAGACCCACCAAGGCGACGAUCCGUAGCUGGUCUGAGAGGAUGAUCAGCGACACGGGAAGUGAGACACGGUCAAGACUCCUAAGGGAGGCACCAGUGGGGAAUAUUGGACAAUGGGCGCAAGCCUGAUCCAGCCAUACCGAGUGGGUGAAGAAGGCGUUCGGGUUGUAAAGACCUUUUGUUGGGAAAGAAAAGCAGCAGGUUAAUACCCCGCUGUUCUGACGGUAACCAAAGAAUAAGCACCGGCUAACUUCGUG
rnacentral:rRNA from 1 species